UACAGAGUGUGCUCAGGUCGACAGGUGUACAGAGUGUGCUCAGGUCGACAGGUGUACAGAGUGUGCUCAGGUCGACAGGUGUACAGAGUGUGCUCAGGUCGACAGGUGUACAAAGCGUGCUCAUGUUGACAGGUAUACAGAGCAUGCUCAGAUUGAGGGGUGUACAGAGCAUGCUCAUGUCAACAGGUGUACACAUCGUGCUCAUGUCGACAGUUGUACAGACCUACAGGUGUACACAGCAUGCUCAGGUUGACAGGUGUACAGAGCAUGCUCAGGUUGACAGGUGUACAGUGGCUCAGGUUGAGGGGUGUACAGUGCAUGCUCAGGUUGACAGUUGUACAGACCUACAGGUGUACAGAGCAAGCUCAGAGCAUGAACUAAGCAUGCACAGGCUGUGCACAUGAAAAAGCAUCAGCUCAGACACUCCAGCUGCAGACGAUUAGAGCUGAUAAUCUGUCAGACRGAUUAAACAUGCUGCUAAUCCCACUGUGAGCCCAACAGGGUGUGUGCAGAA